AACCGCGGUUAGACGAGAGGCCCAAGUUGACAAUCAUCGGCGUAAAGGGUGGUUAAGUUAGUCUUCACUAAACUAAAGCCGAACGCCCCCAAGACCGUUAUACGUAUUCGGAGGUAUGAAGCCCAACUACGAAAGUGGCUUUAAAAUACCUGACCCCACGAAAGCUGUGGAA
rnacentral:rRNA from 1 species